GGGGAGGCUUGCACAGGUGCUGCAUGGCUGUCGUCAGCUCGUGUCGUGAGAUGUCGGUUAAGUCCGCUAACGAGCGCAACCCUCGCUGUGUGUUACAAGUGUCACACGGUACUGCCGGUCUUAAGCCGGAGGAAGGUGGGGAUGACGUCAAGUCAGCAUGGCCUUUAUGUCCUGGGCUACACACACGCUACAAUGGCCAACACAAUAGGUUGCUAAGCCGCGAGGUGGAGCCAAUCCUCAAAGUUGGUCUCAGUUCAGAUUGCAGGCUGCAACCCGCCUGCAUGAAGAUGGAGUUGCUAGUAACCGCAGGUCAGCUAUACUGCGGUGAAUACGUUCCCGGGGCUU
rnacentral:rRNA from 1 species